GGGAAGAGCUCAAAUUUAUAAUCUGGCACCUUCGGUGUCCGAGUUGUAAUCUCUAGAAGUGUUUUCCGCGUUGGACCGCACACAAGUCUGUUGGAAUACAGCGGCAUAGUGGUGAAACCCCCGUAUAUGGUGCGGACGCCCAGCGCUUUGUGAUACACUUUCAAUGAGUCGAGUUGUUUGGGAAUGCAGCUCAAAUUGGGUGGUAAAUUCCAUCUAAAGCUAAAUAUUGGCGAGAGACCGAUAGCGAACAAGUACCGUGAGGGAAAGAUGAAAAGCACUUUGGAAAGAGAGUUAACAGUACGUGAAAUUGUUGGAAGGGAAACGCUUGAAGUCAGACUUGCUUGCCGGAGCUUGCUUCGGUUUGCAGGCCAGCAUCAGUUUUCCGGGGUGGAUAAUAACGGUUUGAAGGUAGCAGUCUCGGCUGUGUUAUAGCUUUCCGUUGGAUACAUCCUGGGGGACUGAGGAACGCAGCGUGCUUUUUGCGAAAGACUCGUCUUUUUCACGCUUAGGAUGCUGGUGGAAUGGCUUUAAACGACCCGUCUU
rnacentral:rRNA from 1 species